AUGCACAAUGCUACAUAUAUGAUCAAACAUAUUAAACUAAUUAAUCUACCUAUAUUUAAAUUUAUGAUGAGCAAAUGACAUAUAUUUUGUAGGUAAAUUAAUAUUGAAUCAAAUAACAUUUUUACACUUCCUUGUAGCCUUUAGAUUUUAUAACAUUCAAUGGUCUAGAUUAAGAGUGAUGUGGAGAGUUUUAAAACUAAAUGACUUGGAUGAUGAUGUGGAUUCUAACUAAUAAGGAAAACACUAAUCUAAAUUAAAAAUUAAUAUCUAAUAGGAUAAAAUUGAAAAAAACCAAUAAUCAAUUGAGUUAGGAUAAAAUUGAAAACAAUAAUCUAAAUUAAAAAUUAAUAUAAGGGAAAUUUUAAUUGAACCCAUACAACCUCUUUCUACACCCAACUUACUUUUACACCCAUAUUAUUUUUAAUUAAAGAAUCAAUCUCUCUUUAAACCCAAAUUUACUAUUUAAACUACCCUCACAAACUCAAUUCAAUAUAUAAAAAUUCAUCUUUAUACCCAUUUAUAAAAUAAAAUCCCAAAUAAGUGAAUGAAGAAUUAAGAUUUUGUCAUGACAACCAAUUGUUAUAGAUGAUCAACAACAUCAAUUUGUUUUUUAAACUUUUUUGACGUCGGUUUGGAGUGCAAGGUUUUUAGGAAAUGAUCUUCGCCAAGCUCUUAAUAGAGUAGUCCAAGUAGCUAGCCUGAAUGUGAUUCGUGGAAUUGAGUAAUGAAUUUGUAAUUCAAGAUUAAACAGUUCAGUAGCUGCUGGGUAAGCAGUUGAACUAGUGAAAGUAAAUUUCAGUAGAACUUCUCAUAACGUUUUCUUAAAGGAUCAUGGCAAUAAUUUUCAUUUGAGCAAUAUAUGCUGCUUUUACAGGCAUACAUAGUUGAAUGAAGCAGAACUAAACAAAUAGCGAGAAGAUAACUCAUACUUUAAACAUGCACUCGUAAUGACAUGGAAAACAUUUCGAUGUGUUGAAAGCUUUCUGACUCUUUUGUUUCUNN
rnacentral:lncRNA from 1 species